ACUGAUUAAAAAAUGAUAGUUUCUUAAUUUUUUCUCAAAUUCGUUGAAAAUUAUUAUUCCUUGAGGAUCUAAUGGAAAAUACAUUGAAAAUCCGUCGAAAUUUAAGUUUCGUCAAAAAUGAAAGUUCUAUUCUGAUUUUUUUUGGCAAAAAAAAAAAAAACACAUUACUAAAUUGUUACAUGUUACAUGAUGAAGAUAUAAUGUGUCCAACUUCCAUAUAACUUUUUUAAAAAAC
rnacentral:lncRNA from 1 species